CCUGCCCACUGAUUUAUUAAAUGGCCGCAGUAAUUUGACUGUGCAAAGGUAGCAUAAUCAUUAGUUUUUUAAUUAAAAGCUUGUAUGAAGGGUUGGACGAAGUAAAAUCUGUCUCUAUUUAAUUUAUAAUAGAAUUUAAUUUUUAAGUUAAAAAGCUUAAAUUUUUAUAAAAGACGAGAAGACCCUAUAGAUCUUUAUAUUUUUAUAAAUAAUUUUAAUUAAGAAUAUUUUAUUUUUUAUUUAUAUAAGUAUUUUAUUGGGGUAAUAAAGAGAUUAAAUUAAUUCUUUUUUAUAUAAAAUAUUAAUUUAUAGAUAUAUGAUCCAAUAAUUUUGAUUAUAAGAUUAAGUUACCUUAGGGAUAACAGCGUAAUUUUUUUAGAGAGUUCAUAUCGAUAAAAAAGUUUGCGACCUCGAUGUUGGAUUAAAAAUUAUUC
rnacentral:rRNA from 1 species